AAGGCACUGACUUCCAGUUUGCACUAGUGUGGUGUGACACAGUUAGGAUGAGAAUUAGCACUUCCAAGUCUGGAAUGUCAGGAAUGUCAUAAGACAUAAAGAUUGGCCGCUAACUUUCUGUCAUGGUCCGUGGGAGUGCCUGGAGGGGAUUUUCCUUCUGUGGCUGCUGAGCCAUCCCUUUGGGGCGGGGACUUCAGUGCUUCAACUGAGCCUCAGCUGCGAGCAAUCAGCGGGAGACCUACUUCAGCUGACUCAACCGGCCCCUCCUCGCCAGUUUGUUCUACUCUUCUCGGUGCGGAGUUUCAACCCUGGCUUCACCUUUCUGGGACAGUCCCUGUCUCCCAGCCGGCUCGACCGCCUGCCCUCUAACCUCCACGCUUCAGCUUGAGACCCUCCAGACGCUUCCCACGGACCUCUCUCCCCUCCCCUCAGUGAUCCUAACCCGGACUGGCACAAAUAUCCUCUCGUCUCUCUGACCUCUUCUGCGUUCCUGCCACUAGCCUUUUGGGCCCCCCUUGUCAUUUUUGGCCACCUUUUCAAAUAA